UAAUACGAAGGGGGCUAGCGUUGUUCGGAAUUACUGGGCGUAAAGCGCGCGCAGGCGGUCUUCCAAGUCAGUGGUGAAAGCCCGGAGCUCAACUCCGGAACUGCCAUUGAAACUGUUAGACUUGAGUAUGAGAGAGGUGAGUGGAAUUCCCAGUGUAGAGGUGAAAUUCGUAGAUAUUGGGAAGAACACCGGUGGCGAAGGCGGCUCACUGGCUCAUUACUGACGCUCAGGCGCGACAGCGUGGGGAUCAAACAGG
rnacentral:rRNA from 1 species